rnacentral:sRNA from 1 species
UUAGCAGCCCUGUAGCCAGAAGUUCUCUACUUUACCACAGAAUAGGUACUUCAGGAGGCGUGGGAGGGCAAAUUUCACAAACACAGUCCCCUGUCAAUGUGAUUCAAUCCUGACUUGGAGUACCCACCUCCAGUGUUAUAGGGGAGUUCAGGAUCUAGGGCACAUUCAAUCCUUAUAGAUU